rnacentral:misc_RNA from 1 species
UUUCCGUAGGUGAACCUGCGGAAGGAUCAUUAAAAAAUUGGACUCCAUUGGUGAGUUCAUUAAUAAUCCCUACCCUUUGUGAAUUUGUUUGUUUGAAUAAUUUUUUUCCAAAAAAAAUUAUUGAAUGUCUUUCCCUGUUUUGGUGGAGCUUGUAAAGUGAAACCAGGCAGGGGAAUGGCAAACAAUAAUUAUUUUUGAAAAAAGACCUUUUUUUAAAAUUAAACUUUUUGUAUUCAUUUGUCUAAAAUUAUUUUAUAAUAUAAAAACAACUUUUGACAAUGGAUCUCUUGGUUCUCGCAACGAUGAAGAACGCAGCAAAAUGCGAUAAGUAGUGUGAAUUGCAGAAUACGUGAAUCAUCGAAUCUUCGAACGCAUAUUGCACUUUUUUAGUUUACUAAAAAAGUAUAUCUGUUUGAGUAUCAGUAAAAUAUUCUCAUAAAAAACAUUGUUUUUUUAUGGUUAUGAGUGUUUUACAACGAUAACAAGUUGUUUCACUUUAAAUUCUUUGUUAUCAAAAAAAUCAUUAAAAGCUAAUUUUAAAGAUUUUUUAAAAUUGGAUAAAAUUUUCCCGUAAAAAGGAAUAACCUAAACAAUUUUAAAAAAUUAAAAUUGGUUUGAUUUUUUUUGAAACCCAAAGGAAAAAAAACGAAAUUAACUUGAUCACAAAUCAGAUAGAGUACCCGCUGAACUUAAGCAUAUCAAUAAGCGGAGGAAAAGAAACUAACUAGGAUUCCCUCAGUAACGGCGAGUGAAGCGGGAAGAGCUCAAAUUUGAAAUCUUCAAGGUUUUACCUUGACGAAUUGUAGUUUAAAGAAGUGUUUUCUGUGGAGUUUUGGUAAAAGUUCUUUGGAAAAGGACAUCAUAGAGGGUGAGAAUCCCGUAUUUGACCAUUAUCUCCAGCUUUGUGAUACACUUUCAAAGAGUCGGAUUGUUUGGGAAUGCAGUCCAAAAUGGGUGGUAAAUUUCAUCUAAAGCUAAAUACUGGCGAGAGACCGAUAGCGAACAAGUACCGUGAGGGAAAGAUGAAAAGAACUUUGAAAAGAGAGUUAAACAGUACGUGAAAUUGUCAAAAGGGAAGCGUUGACACCAGUGUUGUUUUCUCGAAAAUCAAUUAAAAAAGGCCGGAUUUUGUGUUGUAUUGACUUUAUCAGCUUUCUGCACUUUUUUCUUGUCUUUUUCAAUGCACUUUUCGUCUAACAAGUCAACAUCAAUUUCUUUUGUUGUAAAAGGGUCAUUGGAAGGUGGCUUUCUUUUCGGAGAAAGUGUUUAUAGCCUUUGGCCUCUGCAAUCGGAGAGAUUGAGGUCUGCAGCGUAGAUCCUUCGGGUUAGAUACAUUUGUGCUAAGUUAUAGCCUUUCAUAGACAACUUGUUGACUACGAUCAGUCAUGUAGCUUACUCGCUUAUGCUAUUU